UACCAGCACCCCGAGUGGUCGGGACGAUUAUUGGGCCUAAAGCAUCCGUAGCCGGUCAUGCAAGUCUUCCGUUAAAUCCAGCCGCUCAACGGUUGGGCUGCGGAGGAUACUACGUGGCUCGGAGGCGGGAGAGGCAAGCGGUACUCAGUGGGUAGGGGUAAAAUCCUUUGAUCCAUUGAAGACCACCAGUGGCGAAGGCGGCUUGCCAGAACGCGCUCGACGGUGAGGGAUGAAAGCUGGGGGAGCAAACCGG
rnacentral:rRNA from 1 species